rnacentral:misc_RNA from 1 species
AACUUGAAAGUUAACAAAUAUGGGAAAAUAAUUUCCUAUUAGAGUUUUACACCUUUUCAGUACAUGUAUUGGGUCAUGACUCUAUUAUGAUCUUAAGGUUUUCCGCCAAAAUUUUAGGCUUCAUAGUCCUUUUUGAAAGAUUUCAGGCAGAGGGGUGAUUUUCAUUACUUUUUACUCCAGAAUAAAACUUAAUUAAAUGAGAUUCCUCGACAGAUAUGGUUUUCAGGUGAACGUUAAGGCCUAUUGACCUCUUGUUUUAAUGAUAAUCAAAGAAACAACAUCAAAUUUCCAUUUUGUGAUGUAAAUACUUGGGGAAGGGCCAUAACUUACAUUUAGAUACCACAUUCUUUUCUGUGUUGAAUUAACUUUUACAUGUAUUAUAACAGAUCCCGUGGUCUGUUGAUUUCAGUCUAUGUGCAGAAGAUUGCCAUAAACAUUAAAAUAGCAUUAUUUGCAUGACAUCGUGGUUUAAUUUUUCGUAAUCAUGGAAACAUGGUGAUAAUUCAUGUUCAGUUUUUACAUUAGCGUUUUGUACUUGGUAUGAAGUCCCUAUUGGUUCAUGUCUCCUUCUCGUUUUUUUCAUUUCUUUUCCUCCAUAAAGGAUAUCAUUUAUGUUUUCUGUGGAAGUGUUCCAUGUUUAUCAGUGUAUAUCCAUUGUAUGAUAAUUAUGUUCCAUAUUUUGUGCCAGUGCUAUAUAGAUUUCAUAUAUGCAAAAUUAUGGUUUAGAUUGUAUAGUGUUCAAUGUGUAUUGCAUUAGAGUUGUACAGUUAAAGCAGGUUCACAGGUGUCCCCCUUCAUUGCUGCUAUUGUUAAAAUGAUAUAAAUGGAGGCAACUUUAAUUAUCAAAAAUGUGAAAAGUGAUGUUCAAUUGCAUAAAGUUGUUUCUAAUAAGCAGAAGCUAGGCUGCAUAUUUAUUUUAAGUUAAUUUAAUGUUCAACUGAUUCUGAAUGAUUUCAAUAUUAAUGUAUCUAAGAUGACUUCCGAAUUACUGUUAAUCCCACUGAAGAAGAAGAAGCUUGGACUGCUUUAAUGGUAUUGAAGAGUGUUAUUAAUGUAUUUUCAUAUAAUAUGAACUGUGUACAAGAUACAUAUAUAUAAUUAUAUCAAUUGUGUAGCUGGGAAAUUGACAGUUAUUUAUUACUGAACAAAAAAUACUGCAAUAAAUAAUUUCUAACAAUGAC